CAAAGUACAGAACUUAGAAUCUGACCAUCAAGUAGCAAGACAAGUGAUCACACUCCCACAAAGACUGUGUUCAUGUAUAUAUGUACUGUUUCCAUGUAUACAUGGACAGUAUCUUUUACAGCAAAGCUCACAAAUCUACUCAUUUUGUUAAAUCAUGUGGUUUAUGCAUGCAUAGUACAUGCACUUUGUUAUACAAGACUCCUUUAUUUUCAUUCUACAAUUUUUCAUUACUGGUACAUGUAUGACUAAUGAACUGAAAAUAAAACCAAUGAGCUGUG
rnacentral:misc_RNA from 1 species